rnacentral:SRP_RNA from 1 species
AGCAAGCCGAUACGGUCAGCUCCUGCUUAACUCCCCCAGGUCUGGAAGGAAGCAAGGGUAGGGUGGUUGUAGCGGCGCGAUAUUCGGCUUGUUUUU